GCAGGAGUGGCGGAAUGGUAGACGCGAAGGUCUCAAACACCUUUGGUAGUAAUACUGUGUGAGUUCAAGUCUCAUCUCCUGCACCA
rnacentral:tRNA from 1 species